UACAGAGGGGGCAAGCGUUGUUCGGAAUUACUGGGCGUAAAGGGCGCGUAGGCGGCCUUCUAAGUCGAACGUGAAAUCCCCGGGCUCAACCCGGGAACUGCGUCCGAUACUGGAAGGCUUGAAUCCGGGAGAGGGAUGCAGAAUUCCAGGUGUAGCGGUGAAAUGCGUAGAUAUCUGGAGGAAUACCGGUGGCGAAGGCGGCAUCCUGGACCGGCAUUGACGCUGAGGAGCGAAAGCCAGGGGAGCAAAGCGGG
rnacentral:rRNA from 1 species